GAUGAACGCUAGCGGCAGGCCUAAUACAUGCAAGUCGAACGGUGUAGCAAUACACAGUGGCGCACGGGUGCGUAACACGUAUGCAACCUACCUAUCAUUGGGGGAUAGCCUUUGGAAACGGAGAUUAAUACCGCAUAAGACAGUAACAUGGCAUCAUGUAGCUGUUAAAGUUUCGGCGAUGAUAGAUGGGCAUGCGUCCAAUUAGUUAGUUGGUGAGGUAAUGGCUCACCAAGACGAUGAUUGGUAGGGGAUCUGAGAGGAUAAUCCCCCACACUGGCACUGAGAUACGGGCCAGACUCCUACGGGAGGCAGCAGUAGGGAAUAUUGGGCAAUGGACGGAAGUCUGACCCAGCCAUGCCGCGUGCAGGAUGAAGGCGUUAUGCGUUGUAAACUGCUUUUUUAUAGGAAGAAAAGGCCCAUGCGUGGGACAUUGCCGGUACCAGAUGAAUAAGCACCGGCUAACUCCGUGCCAGCCGCCGCGGUAAAAC
rnacentral:rRNA from 1 species